rnacentral:misc_RNA from 1 species
GUGAAUCAUCGAAUCUUUGAACGCAAAUUGCACUCUCCGGUUUUCCGGGAGAGUAUGCCUGUUUGGGGGUCAUCCUAAAAAAAAUCGACAUUUUUGCUGUUAUUUAAUGUUUACUGUCGGCGUAGAUUGGGUUAUCUUAAACCUUUUUUUUUUUUAGUUUAAACUACUUAAAAUUUUUCUUCUGGAUUCCAUAAACUUUUCUAAGAUUUUUAUUUCUUAUACGUUGAAGUUUUAUCGAUCUUUUAUUA